UCGAGAUGGAGGACGACGUCAGUUUCUUGCUCGUGGUCGUGAGAUUUGUAACCGUUCGAUUUUGUCGCCAUCGGUGGUUCAUCGUUGAAGUGAUCUGACCCUGAGAAUUAAGCAGGACUUACACAAUCGCGCUUUUGUGAUUUCGACCGUGAUCAUCUCUAGAUAUCUGUUGAUGUGCAGCUUGAUGUUGUAUCCUUUUCCGCUGUUGCGUCGGUUUAAUCUAAUCAUAAGCUGUUUGGUUUCCUUCUGAAUUCGUCAUGUUUCUGUGAAAUUUAUUCGAUCUUUGAUGGGAGUUUCAGUGCUUUCUGUUUCCCGAUAUGUUGUUUCACGGGAAUCGACUUUGCAGUACAAAAAGCUCGGACAGAUGUUCGACAUUUGGUGCUUGCACAUCCCAGCCAUGGAUAGAACGUCAUUUCUAGGUCCUCCUCUUUCUCACUCUCUCCAACUGCUUCACCAAUUUUGAAUAUAUGGUAACAAUCUGAAGACAAAAUCAUUUGUAAUCAACAAUUUAAUUGUGAUUCUUUCUAGCUCCAUUACGUAGUAAAAGCAUAUCGUGUUAUUCUGGAGUUGUAAUACAACAAAGCCAGGUUACAACAGAUGCUUUGAGUCCUCUCAUCUUAAUACCAUACGAGUUGAUAACUCCUGAUCAUUUUGCAUGGCUCAGACCUGGUGAAAAUGGUCGAGAGAACAAUAAAAGCGGAGACCUACCGCUCCCCAGUAGACCUAUACAUCUUGUUGGAGAAUCAUUGGGAGGAUGCCUUGUGUUAGCUGUCACAGCAUGCAACCCUGACAUUGAUCUUUGAUUAAUCUUGGCCAACCCACCACGUCUUUUGACAAGUCGGGAAUACGACAUCUAUUACCUUUGCUGGAGUUCAUGCCGAUACUGUUGCAGCUAAGCUAUCCUUUCAACCUGAGUUUGAUGGCAGAUAUAAGGUGAUCCUUCGAGGACAUUCAAGGCUAGCACAGAAAAUAGGGCUUCCUCCACAGCAAACGAUUGGAGAGCUAUCAAAGGACAUAUUGACCACGCCAUCUUACAUAUCUUGGGAAGAAUCAGCUAUUGCCAAGUCAAGCAGAAAUGCUAGACGACACGAUGCAGUGCAGAGAAGUGAUCUCUAAAGAUGAUUUUGAUUUAACUACCAUUAUUAAGGGCGUUAACUUCUACCGUCGUGGAAAACUUCUACUACCUGCCACCAACGCCUGCUGAAUAUAGGAAGUUAUAUGGAUCAAACAAGUAAAUUUUUUUGUCCAAUCUUUGUCUGAGGGUAAAAAAAGAUAGCAGUUUAAGACAUCUAGGAAGUUUACGGAUAUCGUUUUCUGCAUACUUAAUCCAGCAUUUGGUCAGCUAGUGACCUUAUGUACGAUCCAUUCUAGCACCCAUGCAUACAGUAUUUUAAAGGUUCAAUGAACACAAAAGAAGAUACGUGUUGAAUGGUCAGAGUAAAAUAGUUUCAUUUGACUGGUUUGUUUCCAUAUCAAGAUAGGCGUGUCCUCUUUAAAAGAGUUACAACUUUGUAUUAGUUUUUAACGUUUAGACUUCUUCCCCGACAACUUGCAUAAAUCUUAGAUGGU